rnacentral:lncRNA from 1 species
UUCAUUCAGCUGCUGAGGGCUUAUAUGGCCACUGAAAGGAAUGCAGUCCUGGCUGAGUACUUUUUCCAGUGAAGAAAUGUUAAUUUGUUCCAUGCCAUCCCCAUUUUUUGUGCACCUAUGUUUAAAAUCAACUUUCACUGAUCACCUCAGAGAGAGAGAAUUUGUAAAUACACUGUAUUAAAUCAUGUUUGGUAUCAAACUGUGAACCAUGCUGAUAAAAGAAGAAUUGACCCAAACUACUCAACCUCAGUCUAAUGAGAUCAAAAGACAUCAGAAAAGAAGAAUGGAUAAAAGAAUUGUCCUGUUUUUUCCUCUCAUUUCUGAAGGGAAAUUAAAUAACAGCCACGGCUCUACAUUACGGCCUUCCUUUCUGCUUAGCUUUAAUUUUAGUCAUCUUUUGCUGGUUCCUGUUAUACUCAGUUCCUGAACUCUCAAUACAAUAAAUGUUAUUGUUCAUGGGAAGAAUGAGUUGCA